UUAUUUUUAUAGCUUCUAUUCAUGUGGGUUUGGUUCAAAUUUCAUUGAGAUUGUUUGGUUUGCUUUAUAUUGUAAAAAUUCUGAAUCUUUAGCUGUCAUAGUGCUUUAAAUUCAACUGAUUUGGUGAAUAGUAUAACCGUAUUCAAUGUUGCUUACUUUUAUGCCUGGGGUUGAUGAUGAGUUUUUAGUAUACAUCUUACUUUUCCAUUUUUAGAUUUUGCAUUUUUAGUCUCUUUCUUCCGCUUAAUUUCUACCUACUGUCAUCAUUUAAUAAAUUACUUGCUAUUGUUUCCCUGUGUAAUGUCAACGCCUAUUUAGGAAAUGUAAGAUGUUAUUUUGUAGAAUUUUUUUAUCAAAUCUACCUUUAUAGUACAAUUAUGUUGCUUACGCUAUUAGUUCUUCGCGUAGCUAAUGGUAGUAAGGCUUUUUGAACUGAAACUUCUGUGACUAGAAUGUAAGUAAAAUUAGUGUAACCUGAGUAGAAGAAUUUGUUUAUUGCUUUAUUGAAGUAAAAACAGUUGAUAUAUGUUAUAGAAGGAUAUUUUGCAACUGGGAUUGGAGUUCGAAUAGAAGUUAGCAGAAUUGGAGGAGUUUAUGUUGAUAUACUUAUAUGGCCUCAGAACUGACCUCUCUAUAGUAUAAAAUUUGAGCUAAUUAUACAAUAAGAAAAAUUGGUUUCUUUUGAGUAUUUUUACUUAAUGAUUUGAUCUUUACAACUCUUAGUCGUUUUUUGCAAAUUGUUUUGACAGAAUGCUUUGUGAAUGCAUUUCACUUAAUUUGAUGAGCCAACAUAAUUCUGACAUUAUGUGAAUAAGACCUCAUUAAAUAAAAAUGGCCAUUACGUGUAGUACGACAUAUUUUAUUGUUCUCGUGUUGUCGAUUCUUUUAUUUAUAUAAAAUCAUUGGUAUAGUCAGCUAGAGUUCUCUGUAGAUAUUUUUUCUCCUUUUAAUAGCAUUGAUUUUGGAUACGAUGUAGAUAUGGUUGGAUCAUAGUGUUGAAGAAAUUUCAUAGCUAGCUUUUGAAUAUAGGGUAUAACGCUUACUUUUAUUUUAAAAUUGAGUUAGGAUUCGUGAUGAGUAAAAUGAUUGCAAGCAAUUUUGAUUUAUUUUAUAGUAUAUGUAGUGUUAGUGGAUGGUGAAACCAGGAGGAUAUAUGAUAGGUAUAGUAAAGAGGGACUUAAGCAGCAUGUUGCCAAUGGUGGUGGUACUGGUAGAUAUGGUUGAAUGAAUUUUCAAGAUAUUGUUAGCUUGCAACUUUAUGCCUUCCUUGCAUGAAUUGUACAUUUUCAUUUGUACAUUUCAUUUUUACUUAUUAUCGAACAUUUGUUUUGUUUUCUUAUGUAUGAACCCCCCCAUAACUAAAUUCAUUAGAACUUGGAUCUCUAAUUUGCUUGUGUUAUUUUUACUUCAAAUUAGCACUCAAUUUGUACAUUUUAUUUAUUUUGAACAAAGUCGUUACAAAAAUUUGGUUUUAGUAUUUCUAAUUAACAUAUAUAAUGAAAUCGUACAUUUGAACUUCGUUCAAUUUUAUAUCAUCGUCAUUCGGAGAAUGGCAUUCUUCUGGUUAGACCUAUUCCAAGUAAGUAAACAGUUUAAAGGCUUAUACUUUUAUAAAAAACCUCUUGCCUACAUUUUGCCAUAAUGGUUGCAUUUCAUAUGAACUUCCCCAGGGUAUCAAAAGACUUUCAUAUCAGUUCUUUGCCUUUUUCUUCUAUUGUACCCUCCAAAAAAAAAGAAAAAAAAAUUAUAGGAUUGAGAAUGCUUUAAAAGAUUUUUUUUAAUUAUUUUUGAUUAAUUUUUCAUAAAAUUCUGCAGAUAAAAGUUGCUCAAGUUACUUUUGAAUAUGAAUAACACAUUGCAACUGAAUUUGGGGGUUCAUUGAGCUUGACCCUGUUCAUGCAACUGACUUUCAAGUUCCCGUUGAUUGUACUAGCGACAAAGCUUGCUACGAAACCUUGAGAGGCCACAAUCAAGACACUUUCAUAUGUUCAAGGAUGGUGUGUUUCAUUCUUACAUGCUCGUUGCAACGAAGAAACAUAUAUUACUGAAGGCAUCGACAAAAUUACUAAAAAAACUUUGAAACUAUUUCUACAAAUUCUCCUACCUCCUUGGAUGUGAUGAGAGUAGCUAAAUAUUUUACGUUGUACCAUAUGAUUUUCUAUUUAUAUUUAACAUACUGGUGUUUCAAUGGCAUCUGGAUAUGUGACUUAUUAUCCUUUUAUUUUCUAUUUAAUAGUAAUUGGAUGUUAGGAAAUAGAUUGUUUUAACUA